rnacentral:lncRNA from 1 species
GUUUUAAAUAAUUGAUGAUGUUUCCUGUUUCUACUUACAUUAAUUGCUCUCAGGUGCUGGAGAAUUGCUCAGUGAGUUGCCUUUUAAUUUAGUUCUUUAGAAAAGCAGCAUGCUGCAUUUUGGAAUACUGUAAGUAAUGUGUACCAGGCAGUACUUUCUAACUGGAGGUUAAUAAGGGUGUACUGAAUGUCUGCUUGGGUGCUAUUGCCUCUCCUCAUGUGAAUGUGUAUGCGCAUGUGUGAAAAGAGAGGAGGAUGAGGUGGAAGACUGCAAGCAGUAAACAGCCUCAGGCCCAAGCUUCCACUGAAUCUAAACUUCCUGGCCAUCUCUGGAUUGGUCUUUGGAUUUCAGCUGGAGUCUGGAGUGACAUGAACCAACUGAUUUAUCGGUCGGUGAAAGCCAAGUGCAGGUGGGGGGUGACUUGCACUCCAUCCCUGUGCUACCAGGCAGUCUGGAAAUUGUUCUUUGCUAAAAAUGCAACCAGUCUGACUGGUGACAGAGGGAGUGAUCACUCUAGACUCUGGUGUGUUUUGGUCACACAUUCAAGGCCAAAUCAAAGGCCAAUCAAGACUCAGGUGGAAAAGCUUUGUCCAAUGCAACAAUUGAUUUUGUUGAAUGUGAUAAAAGUUAGUUACUAUGGCAAAUGAUGUCUGAACAGGCCCUCUAGCAUUAAAUGAUGUGAAACAAAGUCAUCCAUGCUUAUGCACCACAGCUUGAAGUUCACUAUGAGUUUUUCAACUGACCGAUACGAAAUGCAUCAUGUUCAUGUCUUCUGUUAUACCAAGACCCAUUAACAGAUUCCAAGAAGAAUAAAUGUCAAAACAGAGUGAUAACCA